rnacentral:rRNA from 1 species
UACGUAGGGCGCAAGCGUUGUCCGGAAUUAUUGGGCGUAAAGAGCUCGUAGGUGGCUUGUUGCGUCUGCCGUGAAAGCCCGUGGCUUAACUACGGGUCUGCGGUGGAUACGGGCAGGCUAGGGGCUGGUAGGGGCAAGCGGAAUUCCUGGUGUAGCGGUGAAAUGCGCAGAUAUCAGGAGGAACACCGGUGGCGAAGGCGGCUUGCUGGGCCAGUUCUGACGCUGAGGAGCGAAAGCGUGGGGAGCGAACAGG